rnacentral:sRNA from 1 species
UCCCACACAGAUGGGACACGGCUUAGGAGGAAUCCCGGGCUGCGGGCAUUCCUUGGCCCAGUGGCCAGAUUUCUGGAUGUGUAGCAAGCUCCUAUGGGAGGAGGUUCUGGAGGAACGCCUGGCCGCUGCAGUUCAGGCGUUUGGAAGUUCUUGUGUGCUGGAGAUGUGGCUGGGGUUUGUCUCACAGUGGAGGCAAGGAAUUGCAACUUUUUUCUAUUAUGGUACACCUUGAAGAAAGCAACCCCAAAGAAAUACUCACAGUUCAGUGCCGAUGUGGCCGAGGCCAUUGCCUUCUUUGACUCCAUCAUUGCAGAGCUGGAUACAGAGAGACGACCCCGGGCUGCUGAGGCCAGCCUGCCAAAUGAAGAUGUGGACUUUGACGUGGCCACCAGCUCCAGGGAGCACAGCUUGCAUUCUAACUGGAUCCUGCGGGCACCACGCAGACACUCCGAGGAUAUCGCUGCCCACACUGUGCAUACUGUAGAUGGCCAGUUUCGAAGGAGCACUGAGCGCAGGACCGUGGGCACUCAGAGGAGACUCGAGAGGCACCCCAUUUAUUUGCCCAAGGCUGUGGAAGGGGCCUUCAACACCUGGAAAUUUAAGCCCAAAGCCUGCAAAAAAGACCUGGGGAGCUCCAGACAGAUCCUUUUCAACUUCUCAGGAGAAGAUAUGGAGUGGGAUGCAGAGCUCUUUGCGUUGGAGCCCCAGUUGUCUCCUGGGGAGGACUACUAUGAGACAGAGAACCCCAAAGGACAGUGGCUGCUUCGAGAAAGACUUUGGGAGCGGACGGUGCCCUGACUCCAUCUGGAUUCCUUGACGUGUCUC